UUGCUCCCGGAUGUUAGCGGCGGACGGGUGAGUAACACGUGGGUAACCUGCCUGUAAGACUGGGAUAACUCCGGGAAACCGGAGCUAAUACCGGAUAGUUCCUUGAACCGCAUGGUUCAAGGAUGAAAGACGGUUUCGGCUGUCACUUACAGAUGGACCCGCGGCGCAUUAGCUAGUUGGUGGGGUAAUGGCUCACCAAGGCGACGAUGCGUAGCCGACCUGAGAGGGUGAUCGGCCACACUGGGACUGAGACACGGCCCAGACUCCUACGGGAGGCAGCAGUAGGGAAUCUUCCGCAAUGGACGAAAGUCUGACGGAGCAACGCCGCGUGAGUGAUGAAGGUUUUCGGAUCGUAAAGCUCUGUUGUUAGGGAAGAACAAGUGCGAGAGUAACUGCUCGCACCUUGACGGUACCUAACCAGAAAGCCACGGGCUAACUACNUGCCAGCAGCCGCGGGUAAUACGUAGGUGAGCAAGCUUUUGUCCGGAAUUAUUGGGGCUUAAAGGGCUCGCA
rnacentral:rRNA from 1 species